rnacentral:rRNA from 1 species
ACCCCGCACAAGUAGCGGAGCGUGUGGUUUAAUUCGAUGCUACACGAAGAACCUUACCAGGGUUUGACAUGCAAGUGGUAGGAAUCCGAAAGGUGACCGACCCUUCGGGGAGCUUGCACAGGUGCUGCAUGGCUGUCGUCAGCUCGUGUCGUGAGAUGUUCGGUUAGGUCCGCUAACGAGCGCAACCCUCGUCGUGUGUUAUACGUGUCACACGAUACUGCCGGUAUCAAGCCGGAGGAAGGUGGGGAUGAUGUCAAGUCAGCAUGGCCUUUAUAUCCUGGGCUACACACACGCUACAAUGGCAGAUACAAUAGGUCGCGAAACCGCGAGGUGGAGCCAAUCCUCAAAGUCUGUCUCAGUUCAGAUUGUAGGCUGCAACUCGCCUGCAUGAAGUCGGAGUUGCUAGUAAACGCAGGUCAGCUAUACUGCGUUGAAUACGUUCCCGGGGUUU